AGCGCCGAUCUUGUAAAUCGGAAACCGGAAGUUUAAAUCCUCCUCAAAACAUCAAGGGAAAGAGAAUCAAACUC
rnacentral:tRNA from 1 species